UCGAGGCCCAGGCCGGACGUGGCGCGGCGGGAGGCUUCACAGGCCUCCCGGUGCGUGCGCUGGACAGUGGCGAUCGUGUCGUCGUCAUCGAG
rnacentral:tRNA from 1 species